rnacentral:rRNA from 1 species
CCUACGGGAGGCAGCAGUGGGGAAUAUUGGGCAAUGGAGGCAACUCUGACCCAGCAAUGCCGCGUGAGGGAUGAAGGUAAUAUUAUUGUAAAGCUCUUUUCUUUGGAACGCAUUAAUGACGGUACCAGAGGUAUAAGACCCGGCUAACUACGUGCCAGUAGCCGCGGUAAUACGUAGGGGGCAAGCGUGGUUUGGAAUGACGGGGGGUAAAGGGGGUGUAUGUGGUUAGAUAAGUUAGAUGUUUAAUACCCAGGGCCUAAUUCAGGUGCUGCAUCUAAAACUGUUGGACUUGAGUAAUGGAGAGGAUAGUGGAAUUCCUAGUGUAGCGGUGGAAUGCGUAGAUAUUAGGAAGAACAUCAGUGGCGAAGGCGACUAUCUGGACAGCAACUGACACUGAGGCACGAAAGCGUGGGGAGCAAACAGGAUUAGAUACCCGAGUAGUC